CUGACGACCUCCACUUCUCCCACGACCUGCCAGUCUCAUCUCCCAUCUCCUCAUCUCUCCCUCUUUCCCGCGACCAACCCUGCACCCUCCCUCUGAUCAAACUCCUACGUCGUCCCCGCUAUCGUCGGUUCUCUCUCUCUCCCUGAUUGUUCCCAAUCGAUCUCUGAGCCACCACGAUUCCCAAAUCCAUCUCCUUGCUCCCCACCCUACCCAUGGCGCUGUCGACGCCGACGGGCUACUACAAGUGCGGUCCAACCCAAUCCCCAACCCUAUCGUACGCACCUGCCACUUCGGCCCUACCACCAGAGACGGACACCCAAGUUCGUUGCGACGCCGGAGGGUGAGGAGGCGCAGCACGAAGGCGGGAAGGAGAGGGAGACGCGGCCCAAUCUCAAGCCGAACCUGCUCCUCUCUGACAGCGGCUUGGGCUUCGUCCUCUGAUAAUUCUCCGAGACGGCCAUGCCCCACCCAGCCACGAGAUGAGAGUGAGAUAGAUGUUGAUACUGCAACUCAAACAGCUCAAGUUUCAAUCAAUCCUGGUCUGCUGAUAUGGAGAGCGCAAGACCUGGUCUUUGGUUCCUGGAACAAGUGAUUUUAUUGCCUUAUAAUUAUUUCCAUCUCAUUUCCCAAUAAGGAUGAUCAGAUUUUAUAGGUUAUUAGGGGGUAUCCCAAUGGAUAGGACGCCCGCGGGUGGCUGUCGGCUUGAGCUGGUGCGGUACCAUCAUGAAUAUCGGGAUGGGUGGACGGGGAGGAAGGGUGGAAGCCAGGGCGACAUUGGGAAAAAACACGGGCCAUCGGCAGACAAGCAAUAAAUGGUUCUUGAGCAGCACACAAGCAAGAAAUGGUGCUUGAGGUUGUAGGGCCGAGCAGAUAUACACGAGCGGUACGCAUCUCAUUUUCUUCGUCAGGUUCUAAAUGAUCCCUCGAGUUUGCAUCAAUUUGUAUUUACGUUACAAAAUCAUAUAUUCAUGGUUUAUCUCCCUUUUAAGGGUCUAGCUAAACUAAAGUGAAUACCAUUAUGUAACCAAUUUUGUAAAUUGAGUUUGAGCUUGAACAAAGAAAAGUUUACCAAAUAACACAUAAUGGGACUUAUAUUUCGGGAGAUAUUGGAGUACCACCCUCAGCUUCUCAAGGAUUACAUGAACGGCUUUGAAAAAAUGAGCUUUCUAUAUGCCAGGUUUCUGUGACAUGCUUGUAAACUUUUUUCUCUUUUAUUUUGUUUAUGUAGCAACAUUCACAACUUCUGCCAUUGGUUCUUGAUUUUUUUUGCUAUGAAGUGAUGUUGACAAUUUCUAGAGGCAAUUCGCUGACUUAGAAGAUGAUAUUGCAAAGAGCAAGGCAGUCAACAUGAAGCAUGUUUAUCUCGCAAGGUCUGCUACUUGCAGGACUACAAGAUCUGAAAAAUUAAAUACAAGCAGGACUCAACAGUUCACUCUACUAUGAUUCCUCCAACAAAUUAUCUUCCUUAUUCCUCCCAAGUUCCUCAAAGGAUUCCAACAGCAAGACCAGAUAGAGUGGCUUUCUCAGCGACAUCAAUGCAAAAUGCAAGUAUCACCGAUGGACGCAUUGGAUGAAUAGGGCUAAGGGAAUUGAAGUUAUACUGCUCUUGCAUGCAACAACACCUGCAGGGGACACGUAAACACUCCAGGCACGCAAGGUCACAUCGGAGGAUGGCAUGCUGUCCUCCGACUAUUACGAUUCCACCAUUCAGCAGCAUGGCCAGGGCGGGUGGAUACAACAUGGUUGCUGUGGCCGCAAGGAUGUACUACGACAAGGGUCGGGCAAGCUUGCGGGGUCGAGCAUGAGAAGGGAGCACGAGAACGGCUACAGUUCCUGUUCCAGGCAGAGGUUCAGGGUGCAGGGCCACAUGCCUAACCAAUAUAUGGCCUCUUGUGAACUUCCAUUCUCUCGGUUGUGCGCUACUACAUCCGGUCGCUCUGAGACAAAGGAGACGAUGGUGGCCAAAGAAACAUCAUCCCCAACUCAGAGCUCCAAAUCUAGUGUCUUGACACGGAAAGAUUCGGACCUUGAGGAUUGGAGUUUGAACGAGAUGCAUUUGGUGUGAGAGAAAGAUGUCUCACAUGCUCUGUUGACAAGGAGGAGUGGGUUGGCGCUGUGUCAGCACAUGAUACUAUACAAGCUAUCAUUUGCGGUUUUUCCUUCCAGGUUAUCAGUGUUAUUUAGUACAAUGAAGAUCUUAAUUUUUACUAUAUUUUUUGUAUUUUUGUCCUGAUACACCAUUUAGGUUGCGAUAGUGGUAGAAAGACACUUAACUUGUCCUUAACCCGAUGGCGAAGGAGAUGUCCCAUGGGGAGGAAAAGGAGUGGAUGCUUGGUUGUUGUGGAAAAGGGAAACAGGGAGAAUGGCGUCGAUAUUCAGCGAGAAUAAA